GAUUCCAGGCGUGAGCCGCUGUGCCCGGCCAGCAGUGCAAUCUGAGUUGCAGAAAAUCUUUGGUGCUUUCAUAGAGCAGCUCUUGGGUGUGGUGAAGACUAGGAACGAAAGUACAAAUGCAGACAUGAGGAUGCACACACAGCACACCUGAAAGCAAGGAUCAUUCCAAAAUGGAAGAGAAUGGCUCUUUUUAAAAUUGUGUAAUAUAUAAAUUUUGUAAAAUAUUA